AUUGAACGCUGGCGGCAUGCCUUACACAUGCAAGUCGAACGGCAGCGCGGACUUCGGUCUGGCGGCGAGUGGCGAACGGGUGAGUAAUGCAUCGGAACGUACCUUUCAGUGGGGAGUAACGUAGCGAAGUUAACGCUAAUACCGCAUAUUCUGUGAGCAGGAAGACAGGGGAGUCGCAAGACCUUGCGCUGAUUGAGCGGCCGAUAUCAGAUUAGCUAGUUGGUGAGGUAAAGGCUCACCAAGGCGACGAUCUGUAGCGGGUCUGAGAGGAUGAUCCGCCACACUGGAACUGAGACACGGUCCAGACUCCUACGGGAGGCUG
rnacentral:rRNA from 1 species